rnacentral:lncRNA from 1 species
CCAAAGAGUGUAGAGAUACUAGUAUGGCAUACAGUUAAGAUAUAGGAGUACAUCAUCAUGAAAUUGUGAUUCACCUACUGAGCACUCUACUGUUAAGGGUAGCUUACGAAGGAUAUGGGCAUAAGUGUUCCUUCGACCUGAUAUCACCAUAAUGGCUUGCAAGCAACUCACUAUAUUUUGGUGCUGAACUAUCUAUAUUUCUAAUAUAGUGACAGA